GCUCUCAUAGCUCAAUAGGAUAGAGCAUUCGCCUCCUAAGCGAUAGAUUGGGGUUCGAAUCCCUGUGGGAGCG
rnacentral:tRNA from 1 species